GCCCAGUGAUGAGACCAAGGCGAAUACGAGCUCACUGAAUGAGAGCUGGCUUCUUCUUGUCUCUAGUGGCAGGUAAUCUUGGCAGUGCAGAGGAGAAUUCCUGCUCUGCUGUAAGGGCCUGCCUACAGUAACCUGGCUUGUCCCAAAUUAUUCUUCUACAGUCACAGAAGGGUAAUUGGUGGGAUGAUGCUAACAGUGUGUGUGUGAGAGAGAGUGAGAGACAAGAAGUUCACCCAGCUCUUUUUGCUAUUCAGUUAGCAAUGAAUUGCCUCUUUGGUAAUCUGAGGGCA